UCCAGCAGUCCUUGAUUGCCUUCCUGUGUGUGACUCAGACUUUUCUGUGGAUUUCUGCCUGUUAGCUGUGCCCCUCUCAGACUCUUUUGUUGGCCUUCUGAAUCUGGACACCGAACCAUGCAGCUCACUUACAUCACUCUCAAAACAUGGCUUCAAAGAGUUCCAUCUGCAUGCCUCUUGGACCCAUUGCUUGGAUUCUGUCACAACCCAAAUUCACAAAAGUGGUUCCUGAACUGGUUGGCAGUUUCCAGUCUCAUAUACAAGUUGCUCAAAUAAA